rnacentral:rRNA from 1 species
CCAAUAGCGUAUAUUAAAGUUGUUGCAGUUAAAAAGCUCGUAGUUGAAUUUCGGGGUCAGUGCGUCGGUCGUGCCUUCGGUACGUACUAACGUUAUUGAUUCCUACCUUCUGUCGAACCGUGAUGUCAUUAAUUUGGUGUUACGGGGAAUCAGGACUGUUACCUUGAAAAAAUUAGAGUGUUUAAAGCAGGCCAAAGCUUGAAUACAUUAGCAUGGAAUAAUGAAAUAGGACGUUUGACCCUAUUUUGUUGGUUUCUAGGAUCGACGUAAUGAUUAAUAGGGAUAGUUGGGGGCAUUAGUAUUCAAUUGUCAGAGGUGAAAUUCUUGGAUUUAUUGAAGACUAACUACUGCGAAAGCAUUUGCCAAGGAUGUUUUCAUUAAUCAAGAACGAAAGUUAGGGGAUCGAAGACGAUCAGAUACCGUCGUAGUCUUAACCAUAAACUAUGCCGACUAGGGAUCGGAUGAUGUUAAUUUUAUAAUGACUCAUUCGGCGCCUUACG